rnacentral:rRNA from 1 species
CGUAAACAGAGGGAAGCGAGCCUGCGAGGGGGAGCGAAUCCCAAAAAUAACGUCCCAGUUCGGAUUGUAGUCUGCAACCCGACUACAUGAGGCUGGAAUCGCUAGUAAUCGCGGAUCAGAAUGCCGCGGUGAAUACGUUCCCGGGUCUUGUACACACCGCCCGUCACACCAUGGGAGUCGGAAAUGCCCGAAGUCUGUGACCCAACCUACGGGAGGGAGCAGCCGAAGGCAGGUCGGAUGACUGGGGUGAAGUCGUAACAAGGUACC